UACGCUAAUUUUUAUUAUAACGUUAUUCACCCCCCUCUAGCGUUAAGCGUAUUAUCUAACAAAAAUCAGAACGAAAUGAAACACGGAUAGAAGAAAUGAUACUUGACGCAACUAACCAGAUCAGAACCACAACGCCAACGGCAGACUAUCUUCAAUAUAUCAACCGAGAAUAAUUCGAACCAAACUCUGUACAACAGCCGUAACCAUUGAGCUAGCUGACCAACGAAAUCCCUAACAGAUUGCCCAUAAAAAACGAAAUCCAAAACCAAACAGAGCUCAUUAUAGCAACAGCAACAAACGAGCAACUAACAACCACCAAAUUUGUGCUUCAAACAGCCUCUUAUAGAUCCAGGGAACGGAAUUUGCACUUUGAAAAAUUAUCCAACCAAACAUUUUUCCCUCGCUUAUUCGAAUUGCUUUCUAUCUAUUUUAUUUGUCUUUGCGAUUUUUCCUUUAGCUCCCUUAAUCGCUGGUGAGUGUGACGAUGAACCCAAAAAAGCGAGAGAGGAAAAGCUUGAUCCCCCACUAUGUUCCUAAAAAAAAUGAAGAUGAAUAAGAAGUCCAGAUAAAAAAUGGGGGGUUCCCCCACUUUUGGCGUGGCGUGUUUUUGUAGAGGAGAGGGUCUGUCGAUUAUUGCUUGCUCUUCUUUAGAGUAAGGGGAGCUCUUUU
rnacentral:lncRNA from 1 species